rnacentral:misc_RNA from 1 species
UACGGAGGAUCCAAGCGUUAUCCGGAAUUACUGGGCGUAAAGAGUUGUGUAGGUGGCAUGUUAAGUAAAUAGUGAAAGCGUGGGGCUCAACCCCAUAUCCAUUAUUUAAACUGGCAAGCUAGAGUGUGGAAGAGGUACCUGGAAUUCCUUGUGUAGGAGUGAAAUCCGUAGAUAUAAGGAGGAACACCGAUGGCGUAGGCAGGGUACUGGUCCAUUACUGACACUCAGACACGAAAGCAUGGGGAGCGACCGGG